rnacentral:lncRNA from 1 species
CAAAUCAAACAAAGAUUCAAUCAAAUAUAAUAUUUGAGGAUGAAUCUUUUCGAGGAAAGGGGGAAUGAUACAUGCAUGGAUGGGGUUUGUUUCUUGUGCAUGAUUUCUUUCUUAUGAUUUUUAGAAGUAGUUUUCUUCUCGAUUUUCUUCAAUGAGUCAUGGAAAUUCAUUCUUCACCCUUCAAUUUGUCAAGGAUUAUUUCUUGGGGGAUUGAUUAGAGUUAUUAAUUGAGUUUGUUGGGAUUUAUAUCUCAAAGGAUUUAACUGGGC